GACGAACGCUGGCGACGUGCUUAACACAUGCAAGUCGAACGCUGAAGCUUGGUGCUUGCACUGGGUGGAUGAGUGGCGAACGGGUGAGUAAUACGUGAGUAACCUGCCCUUGACUCUGGGAUAAGCCUGGGAAACUGGGUCUAAUACUGGAUACGACAUGCCACUGCAUGGUGGUGUGUGGAAAGGGUUUUACUGGUUUUGGAUGGGCUCACGGCCUAUCAGCUUGUUGGUGGGGUAAUGGCCUACCAAGGCGACGACGGGUAGCCGGCCUGAGAGGGUGACCGGCCACACUGGGACUGAGACACGGCCCAGACUCCUACGGGAGGCAGCAGUGGGGAAUAUUGCACAAUGGGCGGAAGCCUGAUGCAGCGACGCCGCGUGAGGGAUGACGGCCUUCGGGUUGUAAACCUCUUUCAGCACGGAAGAAGCGAGAGUGACGGUACGUGCAGAAGAAGCGCCGGCUAACUACGUG
rnacentral:rRNA from 1 species